CUGGAAAGUGGGGCAACGAAGGCUUAAAACCAAAGACAGCGCGUGUGGCGCCCUGUAUGCAGGCGGCGCUUAUGAAGCGCUAGUUCCCUUCUGCCCCCUUAGCCUCUCGCCUCCCCCCUCAGCAGCCUGGUGCUCCCGCGGCCUCCAUGUGCUGGGGGAGGUGGCGCUGACACUCUCUCCCCCCCCAGCUGCUGGCUCUCCCUGGAGGGGGGACUGCUGUACGCCUUCGUGGGACCCGCUGCUGCCGUCGUGCUGAUCCUCUUCGCCGUCUUCGACUCGCUGGAGGGCUUUGUCAUUGUCAUGGUGCACUGCAUCCUGCGGAGAGAGGUGGGCGGGCGAGGGCGC
rnacentral:lncRNA from 1 species